rnacentral:piRNA from 1 species
UGUUUCUAGUUUCCCAGUACUC